rnacentral:rRNA from 1 species
UACGUAGGGGGCAAGCGUUGUCCGGAAUCAUUGGGCGUAAAGAGCGUGUAGGCGGUCCGGUCAGUCGGUUGUGAAAGUCAAGGGCUCAACCCUUGAAUGCCGGCCGAUACUGCCGGGCUAGAGUCCGGAAGAGGUGAGUGGAAUUCCUGGUGUAGCGGUGAAAUGCGCAGAUAUCAGGAGGAACACCUAUUGCGAAGGCAGCUCGCUGGGACGUAACUGACGCUGAGACGCGAAAGCGUGGGGAGCAAACAGG